GGUCAAGUGACUAAGCGCAUACGGUGGAUGCCUUGGCAGUCAGAGGCGAUGAAGGACGUUGUAGCCUGCGAAAAGCUUCGGGGAGUCGGCAAACAGACUUUGAUCCGGAGAUGUCCGAAUGGGGAAACCCACCCCUAGGGGUAUCCUGCACUGAAUACAUAGGUGUAGGAGGCGAACCUGGUGAACUGAA
rnacentral:rRNA from 1 species